rnacentral:rRNA from 1 species
CCCUUAGAUGAUUUGGGCUGCACGCGCGCUACACUGAGUGUCUGAGAUACGAGUCUGCCUGGUCCGGCAAGGUCUAGGUAAUCGCUAAAAGACACAUCAUGCUUGGGAUAGAUUAUUGCAAAUAUUAAUCUUGAACGAGGAAUUCCUAGUAAGCGCAAGUCAACAGCUUGCGUUGAUUACGUCCCUGCCCUUUGUACACACCGCCCGUCGCUACUACUGAUUGGAUGUUUAAGCGAGGUUCUCGAACUGCUAGCGACUUAGCUUCGGUGAGGUCGCAGUGUGGGAAGUGAACCUAGCUUUGGUGUCUAGAGGAAGUAAAAGUCGUAACA